rnacentral:rRNA from 1 species
AUUAAACGCUGGCGGCAUGCCUUACACAUGCAAGUCGAACGGCAGCACGGGGGCAACCCUGGUGGCGAGUGGCGGACGGGUGAGUAAUACAUCGGAACGUGCCCUGGAGUGGGGGAUAACGCAGCGAAAGCUACGCUAAUACCGCAUAUUCUGUGAGCAGGAAAGCAGGGGAUCGCAAGACCUUGCGCUUUGGGAGCGGCCGAUGUCGGAUUAGCUAGUUGGUGGGGUAAAGGCCUACCAAGGCGACGAUCCGUAGCGGGUCUGAGAGGAUGAUCCGCCACACUGGGACUGAGACACGGCCCAGACUCCUACGGGAGGCAGCAGUGGGGAAUUUUGGACAAUGGGCGGAAGCCUGAUCCAGCCAUGCCGCGUGAGUGAAGAAGGCCUCGGUUGUAAAGCUCUUUCGGUCGGGGAAGGAAAGUUAGCUUGGGUUAAUACCCUGAGUAGAUGACGGUACCCGAAUAAGAAGACACCGGCUAACUACGUGCCAGCAGCCGCGGUAA